GACGAACGCUGGCGGCGUGCUUAACACAUGCAAGUCGAACGAUGAACUACCAGCUUGCUGGUGGGGAUUAGUGGCGAACGGGUGAGUAACACGUGAGUAACCUGCCCUGGACUCUGGGAUAACCCCGAGAAAUCGGAGCUAAUACCGGAUAGGACCUUUCCCUGCAUGGGGUUUGGUGGAAAGUUUUUCGGUCUGGGAUGGACUCGCGGCCUAUCAGCUUGUUGGUGAGGUAAUGGCUCACCAAGGCGUCGACGGGUAGCCGGCCUGAGAGGGUGACCGGCCACACUGGGACUGAGACACGGCCCAGACUCCUACGGGAGGCAGCAGUGGGGAAUAUUGCACAAUGGGCGCAAGCCUGAUGCAGCAACGCCGCGUGCGGGAUGACGGCCUUCGGGUUGCAAACCGCUUUUAGUAGGGAAGAAGGGCUUCGGCUUGACGGUACCUGCAGAAAAAGGACCGGCUAACUACGUGCCAGCAGCCGCCGUAAUAC
rnacentral:rRNA from 1 species